rnacentral:rRNA from 1 species
GUAGGGUGCRAGCGUUAAUCGGAAUUACUGGGCGUAAAGCGUGCGCAGGCGGUUAUAUAAGWCAGAUGUGAAAUCCCCGGGCUCAACCUGGGAACUGCAUUUGUGACUGUAUAGCUAGAGUACGGYAGAGGGGGAUGGAAUUCCGCGUGUAGCAGUGAAAUGCGUAGAUAUGCGGAGGAACACCGAUGGCGAAGGCAAUCCCCUGGACCUGUACUGACGCUCAUGCACGAAAGCGUGGGGAGCAAACAGGAUUAGAUACCCUGGUAGUCCACGCCCUAAACGAUGUCAACUGGUUGUUGGGUCUUAACUGACUCAGUAACGAAGCUAACGCGUGAAGUUGACCGCCUGGGGAGUACGGCCGCAAGGUUG